GAUGAACGCUGGCGGCGUGCCUAAUACAUGCAAGUCGAGCGAACGGACGAGAAGCUUGCUUCUCUGAUGUUAGCGGCGGACGGGUGAGUAACACGUGGAUAACCUACCCAUAAGACUGGGAUAACUUCGGGAAACCGGGGCUAAUACCGGAUAAUAUUUUGAACCGCAUGGUUCAAAAGUGAAAGACGGUCUUGCUGUCACUUAUGGAUGGAUCCGCGCUGCAUUAGCUAGUUGGUAAGGUAACGGCUUACCAAGGCAACGAUGCAUAGCCGACCUGAGAGGGUGAUCGGCCACACUGGAACUGAGACACGGUCCAGACUCCUACGGGAGGCAGCAGUAGGGAAUCUUCCGCAAUGGGCGAAAGCCUGACGGAGCAACGCCGCGUGAGUGAUGAAGGUCUUCGGAUCGUAAAACUCUGUUAUUAGGGAAGAACAUAUGUGUAAGUAACUGUGCACAUCUUGACGGUACCUAAUCAGAAAGCCACGGCUAACUACGUGCCAGCAGCCGCGGUAAUACGUAGGUGGCAAGCGUUAUCCGGAAUUAUUGGGCGUAAAGCGCGCGUAGGCGGUUUUUUAAGUCUGAUGUGAAAGCCCACGGCUCAACCGUGGAGGGUCAUUGGAAACUGGAAAACUUGAGUGCAGAAGAGGAAAGUGGAAUUCCAUGCGUAGCGGUGAAAUGCGCAGAGAUAUGGAGGAACACCAGUGGCGAAGGCGACUUUCUGGUCUGUAACUGACGCUGAUGUGCGAAAGCGUGGGAAUCAAACAGGAUUAGAUACCCUGGUAGUCCACGCCGUAAACGAUGAGUGCUAAGUGUUAGGGGGUUUCCGCCCCUUAGUGCUGCAGCUAACGCAUUAAGCACUCCGCCUGGGGAGUACGACCGCAAGGUUGAAACUCAAAGGAAUUGACGGGGACCCGCACAAGCGGUGGAGCAUGUGGUUUAAUUCGAAGCAACGCGAAGAACCUUACCAAAUCUUGACAUCCUUUGACAACUCUAGAGAUAGAGCCUUCCCCUUCGGGGGACAAAGUGACAGGUGGUGCAUGGUUGUCGUCAGCUCGUGUCGUGAGAUGUUGGGUUAAGUCCCGCAACGAGCGCAACCCUUAAGCUUAGUUGCCAUCAUUAAGUUGGGCACUCUAAGUUGACUGCCGGUGACAAACCGGAGGAAGGUGGGGAUGACGUCAAAUCAUCAUGCCCCUUAUGAUUUGGGCUACACACGUGCUACAAUGGACAAUACAAAGGGCAGCGAAACCGCGAGGUCAAGCAAAUCCCAUAAAGUUGUUCUCAGUUCGGAUUGUAGUCUGCAACUCGACUACAUGAAGCUGGAAUCGCUAGUAAUCGUAGAUCAGCAUGCUACGGUGAAUACGUUCCCGGGUCU
rnacentral:rRNA from 1 species